AAGAAGCGAUAGAGAGAAAGAGAGAAGGGGAGGGAGAGAAGGUGCUUUUUAAGGGGGACUUGAGAGGUAGAAGAGAGUUGAGCAGUGUAUAUGGUAUGUGUUGAAUAUGUUGAUGUUGAAUAAUGUUGUGGUGUGAGAGGUGAGAGUUUGUGUAAUGAUUAUGUUUUAGCAGAGGUUGACUGCAGCCGGGGUUUUGGGGUUGGUUUGA